ensembl:lncRNA
CCUUUUUACACGCACACAUCCGCCCAACAGUCUAACUCUACCUCUGUCCAUCACAUGCAAUGUGUUUUUAAAUGCUGUGCUUACUGUGUAACAUUCCCUUUUUACACGCACACAUCCGCCCAACAUUCUAAACUCUACCUCUGUCCACACGUUUGCAAUGUUUUGAAUUCUGAGUUUGUACCACCUUACAACGCUGCAGUUUAGUGUUGACUGUCUGGUUUGCUCAAAGAUUAUUUUGUCUUAUCCUUGGAAUGUUAUUGGGGUUGUUGUCGUAGAACUCUCAAUUUAUAUUGAGUAAUUGUAGGAAAGCUAAAUCCCAAAAUACUGAUUUUCAGAUUGUCUAAGCAAGGUAGGUCUGUUGGUCAAGUGUUGAAAGGAGAAACGGGAGAUCGUCCGCCGUUCAACUCAAGGUGAGGUGCUGGUUAUAUUACUUGGUGCUGGUUGGGUUUUGACUGAAUUGGCAUUUUAGUUGUCUAUUAAUAGAUUUUGUUUGGAGAAUGUUUUUUGUACUGCCUAUGUCAUUCUAUGCCAAUAUUUGGCUUUAAAUUUGUCCUUGGAUGAAUGGUUUAUAAUUUGGCUGUGAUUAGGAAAUUUGGAUUGUAUCUGCAACAUUCUCAACUCUACCUCUGUAUAUACAAUGUAAUGCGUUUUAAAUGCUGUGCUUACUGUGUAACAUUCCCUUUUUACACGCACACAUCCACCCAACAGUCUAAACUCUACCUCUGUCCAUCAUAUGCAAUGUGUUUUAAAUGCUGUGCUUACUGUGUUACAUUCCCUUUUUACACGCACACAUCCGCCCAACAGUCUAAACUCUACCUCUGUCCACCAUAUGCAAUGUGUUUUAAAUGCUGUGCUUACUGUGUUACAUUCCCUUUUUACACGCACACAUCCGCCCAACAGUCUAAACUCUACCUCUGUCCAAAAUAUGCAAUGUUUGUUUUAAUGCUGUGUUGCAUUCCCUUUUUACACGCACACAUCCGCCCAACAGUCUAACUCUACCUCUGUCCAUCACAUGCAAUGUGUUUUAAAUGCUGUGCUUACUGUGUAACAUUCCCUUUUUACACGCACACAUCCGCCCAACAUUCUCCACUGUACCUCCGUCCACACGUUUGCAAUGUUUUUAAUGCUGAGUUUGUACCACCUUACAACGCUGCAGUUUAGUGUUGACUGGUUUGGUCAAAGAUUAUUUUGACUUUUCCUUGGAAUGUUAUUGGGGUUGUUGUCGUAGAACUCUAAUUUAUAUUGAGUAAUUGUAGAAGAGCUAAAUCCCAAAAUACUGAUUUUCAGAUUGUCUAAGCAAGGUAGGUCUGUUGGUCAUGUGUUGAAAGGAGAAACGGGAGAUCGUCCGCCGUUCAACUCAAGGUGAGGUGCUGGUUAUAUUACUUGGUGCUGGUUGGGUUUUGACUGAAUUGGCAUUUUAGUUGUCUAUUAAUAAAUUCUUUGUGGAG